rnacentral:rRNA from 1 species
CCUACGGGUGGCUGCAGUGAGGAAUAUUGGACAAUGGGCGGAAGCCUGAACCAGCAAAGUCGCGUGAGGGAAGACGGUCCUAUGGAUUGUAAACCUCUUUAGGCGGGGAGCAAUGCAGGGCACGCGUGCCCGGAGGGAGAGUACCCGCAGAAUAAGCAUCGGCUAACUCCGUGCGAGCAGCCGCGGUAAUACGGGGGAUGCGAGCGUUAGCCGGAUUUAUUGGGUUAAAAGGGUGCGUAGGCGGAUUUUUAAGUCAGCGGUAAAAUGUCCGGGCUCAACCCGGGCCGGCCGUUGAAACUGGGGAGCUGGAGUGGGCGAGGAGUAAGCGGAAUGCGUGGUGUAGCGGUGAAAUGCAUAGAUAUAACGCAGAACUCCGAUUGCGAAGGCAGCAUACCGGCGCCCGACUGACGCUGAGGCACGAAAGCGUGGGGAUCGAACAGGAUUAGAUACCCUUGUAGUC